rnacentral:rRNA from 1 species
UACAGAGGGUGCAAGCGUUGUUCGGAAUUAUUGGGCGUAAAGCGCGUGUAGGCGGCUUUGCAAGUCGGGUGUGAAAGCCCUCGGCUCAACCGAGGAACUGCAUCCGAUACUGGCGGGCUUGAAUCCGGGAGAGGGAUGUGGAAUUCCAGGUGUAGCGGUGAAAUGCGUAGAUAUCUGGAGGAACACCGGUGGCGAAGGCGGCAUCCUGGACCGGUAUUGACGCUGAGGCGCGAAAGCUAGGGGAGCAAACGGG